GACGAACGCUGGCGGCGUGCUUAACACAUGCAAGUCGAACGGAAAGGCCCUGCUUUUGUGGGGUGCUCGAGUGGCGAACGGGUGAGUAACACGUGAGUAACCUGCCCUUGACUUUGGGAUAACUUCAGGAAACUGGGGCUAAUACCGGAUAGGAGCUCCUGCUGCAUGGUGGGGGUUGGAAAGUUUCGGCGGUUGGGGAUGGACUCGCGGCUUAUCAGCUUGUUGGUGGGGUAGUGGCUUACCAAGGCUUUGACGGGUAGCCGGCCUGAGAGGGUGACCGGCCACAUUGGGACUGAGAUACGGCCCAGACUCCUACGGGAGGCAGCGGUGGGGAAUAGUGCACAAUGGGCGGAAGCCUGAUGCAGCAACGCCGCGUGCGGGAUGACGGCCUUCGGGUUGUAAACCGCUUUCGCCUGUGACGAAGCGUGAGUGACGGUAAUGGGUAAAGAAGCACCGGCUAACUACGUG
rnacentral:rRNA from 1 species